rnacentral:misc_RNA from 1 species
GAUGAAGAACGUAGCGAAAUGCGAUAAGUAAUGUGAAUUGCAGAAUUCAGUGAAUCAUCGAAUCUUUGAACGCACCUUGCGCUCCUUGGUAUUCCGAGGAGCAUGCCUGUUUGAGUCUCAUGGAAUUCUCAAGCUUACAGUUUUGUUACUGCAAGGCUUGGACUUGGAGGUCGUGUCGGCUCUCGCGAGUCGACUCCUCUGAAAUGCAUUAGUGCGGACGUUACCGGUCGCUUCAGCGUGAUAAUUAUCUGCGCUGCCGUCGACUGGUAUGUGAAGUACGCGCUUCUAACCGUCCUUCACGGGACAAUACAUUGAAACUCUGAGCUCAAUCAGGUAGGACUACCCGCUGAACUUAAGCAUAUCAAUAAGCGGAGGA